UGGGGAAUUUUGCGCAAUGGACGAAAGUCUGACGCAGCAACGCCGCGUGGGUGAUGAAGGUCUUCGGAUCGUAAAACCCUGUCGUCGGGGACGAAGGUGGGCUUGUUAAUAGCGAGUUUACUUGACGGUACCCGGAGAGGAAGCCCCGGCUAACUCUGUGCCAGCAGCCGCGGUAAUACAGAGGGGGCAAGCGUUAUUCGGAAUUAUUGGGCGUAAAGGGCGCGUAGGCGGUUUUUUAAGUCGGAUGUGUAAUCCCCGGGCUUAACCUGGGAACUGCAUCCGAGACUGGAAGACUUGAGUACUGGAGAGGGUGGUAGAAUUCCACGUGUAGCGGUGAAAUGCGUAGAGAUGUGGAGGAAUACCAGUGGCGAAGGCGGCCACCUGGACAGUAACUGACGCUGAGGCGCGAAAGUGUGGGUAGCAAACAGGAUUAGAUACCCCCGUAGUCC
rnacentral:rRNA from 1 species